GUGAUCCUCCUGCCUCUGCCUCCCUGGUAGCUGGGACUACAGCAACCAUGAAGUUUGACCCCACCCAGCUCCUCAAGUGCGUUCUGAUGGACUGAAUUAAGCAAGAUAAUCUCUUUUUCCAAUCAGUCUGUGGCAUUUCCCUGUCUGUGGAUGGCUUCAAGGCUGACCUAACCAGUGUGGAGAUCAAGUGUUUUGUUUGGAAUGCUGGCACACACUUUCUGGGCAGUGUGGUGUGAAUCCAUGAAAUCUGAAGCUGCUGCAGCCUCUUUGUCACCAAGAGGGCAGCCAGACUACCAAGGAGGAAGCUGGACAUGGGGAGACGGGAAGAAAGAGGAAAUUUCAGAGAAAUUGAACUACAGCUCUCAUCAAACCAUAUCUGAAGCCAACAUCUCUCUGGUCUUUAUAUUUACAAUUUAAGUUGAUAUUCACAGUCAGAUUUUCUGUUACUUCUGAGAACAUUCUACCUGAGGUAAAUGAGGGGCUCCAUUUUGCAAGCUGAUUUUGAGGUACCCAUGGGAUAUCUAAGUGGUGCCGCUAAUUGCCCAUUUUUCUAAGUCAUAGGGUCAGUGUUUUUCUUAUCAAUCCGUGUGCCCUUUAUAUAUGAAGACUACAGUAAGACUGCUGACAAAUAAUUUUUGGCCAAUUUUCUGUUUUCCCUUUUGUUUACGAUGGAUGUUGACAGCCAGAUGCUUUUCAUUUUCAGUUAGAUAAAUCUACUAAUUGCUACUUUGGGGGAUUCUUUUAUGUCAGGAAGGACUUUGAUAUACUUACUCUAAAUUGUCCAGGGCUUGGAUGGCCCCCAGUGGGGAAGACAUCAUAUUCCACACCUCUGACCACAGAGGUCGAUCAUGGAUAAGCACACGUUCCAAGAUGGCUCAGUGGCCGUCCAUCUCAGCACCUUUGUGGGAACUAUUGAGAAGCAGAAAAGAACCUGCUGGAAAAGAAGACCAACCCAGGAGAAAGCAGAACCAAAAGAUGGUGAAAGACAGGCUGUCCUGAUGACCUACCCUGAGGACAUGGGUCCCAUCACACCCAGCAUUCUGGCCUUUUCAUUACACACACCGUUCCAGUCUCUGCCUUCAUUGUCGGACGAUGUUCUCCCUGGGUGUCUCUGUGUCUGUAUCUUCUUCACAUGGUAUCUUUAUGAGGACAUCAGUCAUCAGAUGAGAUGGCUCAAGGGAGUUGUUC